UACGGAGGGUGCAAGCGUUUGUCCGGAAUUAUUGGGCGUAAAGAGCUCGUAGGCGGUCUGUCGCGUCUGCUGUGAAAACCCGGAGCUCAACUCCGGGCCUGCAGUCGAUACGGGCGGACUUGAGUUCGGCAGGGGAGACUGGAAUUCCAGGUGUAGCGGUGAAAUGCGUAGAUAUCUGGAGGAACACCGGUGGCGAAGGCGGCAUCCUGGACCGAUACUGACGCUGAGGAGCGAAAGCCAGGGGAGCAAAGCGGG
rnacentral:rRNA from 1 species